GAUGAAGAACGCAGCGAAAUGCGAUAAGUAAUGUGAAUUGCAGAAUUCAGUGAAUCAUCGAAUCUUUGAACGCAUCUUGCGCUACUUGGUAGUCUGAGGAGCAUGCCUGUUUGAGUGUCAUUAAAUUCUCAACUACACUGACUUUGAAUUGGUGUGGCUUGGAUUUGGGGGGAAAAUUGUUGUGGGCUUUUUGUAUAGUCUGCUCCCCUGAAAUUGAUUAGCGGUACCUUUGUGGAACUGUCUACAGGUGUGAUAAUUAUCUACAUCUUAGACAUCUGCUGGAAUGCUGCUUUCUAAACCUUACUUGUAUUGACAAUCUUGACCUCAAAUCAGGUAGGACUACCCGCUGAACUUAAGCAUAUCAAUAAGCGGAGGA
rnacentral:misc_RNA from 1 species